rnacentral:rRNA from 1 species
UUAUCGUUUAUUUGAUAGUACCUUACUACAUGGAUAACCGUGGUAAUUCUAGAGCUAAUACAUGCUAAAAACCUCGACUUCGGAAGGGGUGUAUUUAUUAGAUAAAAAACCAAUGCCCUUCGGGGCUCCUUGGUGAAUCAUAAUAACUUAACGAAUCGCAUGGCCUUGCGCCGGCGAUGGUUCAUUCAAAUUUCUGCCCUAUCAACUUUCGAUGGUAGGAUAGUGGCCUACCAUGGUAUCAACGGGUAACGGGGAAUUAGGGUUCGACUCCGGAGAGGGAGCCUGAGAAACGGCUACCACAUCCAAGGAAGGCAGCAGGCGCGCAAAUUACCCAAUCCCGACACGGGGAGGUAGUGACAAUAAAUACUGAUACAGGGCUCUUUUGGGUCUUGUAAUUGGAAUGAGUACAAUUUAAAUCCCUUAACGAGGAACAAUUGGAGGGCAAGUCUGGUGCCAGCAGCCGCGGUAAUUCCAGCUCCAAUAGCGUAUAUUAAAGUUGUUGCAGUUAAAAAGCUCGUAGUUGAACCUUGGGCCUGGCUGGCCGGUCCGCCUCACCGCGUGUACUGGUCCGGCCGGGCCUUUCCUUCUGGGGAACCUCAUGCCCUUCACUGGGCGUGUUGGGGAACCAGGACUUUUACUUUGAAAAAAUUAGAGUGUUCAAAGCAGGCCUUUGCUCGAAUACAUUAGCAUGGAAUAAUAGAAUAGGACGUGUGGUUCUAUUUUGUUGGUUUCUAGGACCGCCGUAAUGAUUAAUAGGGAUAGUCGGGGGCAUCAGUAUUCAAUCGUCAGAGGUGAAAUUCUUGGAUUGAUUGAAGACUAACUACUGCGAAAGCAUUUGCCAAGGAUGUUUUCAUUAAUCAGUGAACGAAAGUUAGGGGAUCGAAGACGAUCAGAUACCGUCGUAGUCUUAACCAUAAACUAUGCCGACUAGGGAUCGGACGGUGUUAGUAUUUUGACCCGUUCGGCACCUUACGAGAAAUCAAAGUUUUUGGGUUCUGGGGGGAGUAUGGUCGCAAGGCUGAAACUUAAAGAAAUUGACGGAAGGGCACCACCAGGCGUGGAGCCUGCGGCUUAAUUUGACUCAACACGGGGAAACUCACCAGGUCCAGACACAAUAAGGAUUGACAGAUUGAGAGCUCUUUCUUGAUUUUGUGGGUGGUGGUGCAUGGCCGUUCUUAGUUGGUGGAGUGAUUUGUCUGCUUAAUUGCGAUAACGAACGAGACCUUAACCUGCUAAAUAGCCAGGCCCGCUUUGGCGGGUCGCCGGCUUCUUAGAGGGACUAUCGGCUCAAGCCGAUGGAAGUUUGAGGCAAUAACAGGUCUGUGAUGCCCUUAGAUGUUCUGGGCCGCACGCGCGCUACACUGACAGAGCCAACGAGUUCAUUUCCUUAGCCGAAAGGUUUGGGUAAUCUUGUUAAACUCUGUCGUGCUGGGGAUAGAGCAUUGCAAUUAUUGCUCUUCAACGAGGAAUGCCUAGUAAGCGCAUGUCAUCAGCAUGCGUUGAUUACGUCCCUGCCCUUUGUACACACCGCCCGUCGCUACUACCGAUUGAAUGGCUCGGUGAGGCCUUCGGACUGGCCCAGGGAGGUCGGCAACGACCACCCAGGGCCGGAAAGUUGGUCAAACCCGGUCAUUUAGAGGAAGUAAAAGUCGUAACAAGGUCUCCGUAGGUGAACCUGCGGAGGGAUCAUUACAAGAACGCCCGGGCUUCGGCCUGGUUAUUCAUAACCCUUUGUUGUCCGACUCUGUUGCCUCCGGGGCGACCCUGCCUUCGGGCGGGGGCUCCGGGUGGACACUUCAAACUCUUGCGUAACUUUGCAGUCUGAGUAAACUUAAUUAAUAAAUUAAAACUUUUAACAACGGAUCUCUUGGUUCUGGCAUCGAUGAAGAACGCAGCGAAAUGCGAUAAGUAAUGUGAAUUGCAGAAUUCAGUGAAUCAUCGAAUCUUUGAACGCACAUUGCGCCCCCUGGUAUUCCGGGGGGCAUGCCUGUUCGAGCGUCAUUUCACCACUCAAGCCUCGCUUGGUAUUGGGCAACGCGGUCCGCCGCGUGCCUCAAAUCGUCCGGCUGGGUCUUCUGUCCCCUAAGCGUUGUGGAAACUAUUCGCUAAAGGGUGUUCGGGAGGCUACGCCGUAAAACAACCCCAUUUCUAAGGUUGACCUCGGAUCAGGUAGGGAUACCCGCUGAACUUAAGCAUAUCAAUAAGCGGAGGAAAAGAAACCAACAGGGAUUGCUCUAGUAACGGCGAGUGAAGCAGCAAUAGCUCAAAUUUGAAAUCUGGCGUCUUCGACGUCCGAGUUGUAAUUUGUAGAGGAUGCUUCUGAGUGGCCACCGACCUAAGUUCCUUGGAACAGGACGUCAUAGAGGGUGAGAAUCCCGUAUGCGGUCGGAAAGGCGCUCUAUACGUAGCUCCUUCGACGAGUCGAGUUGUUUGGGAAUGCAGCUCUAAAUGGGAGGUAAAUUUCUUCUAAAGCUAAAUAUUGGCCAGAGACCGAUAGCGCACAAGUAGAGUGAUCGAAAGAUGAAAAGCACUUUGGAAAGAGAGUUAAAAAGCACGUGAAAUUGUUAAAAGGGAAGGGAUUGCAACCAGACUUGCUCGCGGUGUUCCGCCGGUCUUCUGACCGGUCUACUCGCCGCGUUGCAGGCCAGCAUCGUCUGGUGCCGCUGGAUAAGACUUGAGGAAUGUAGCUCCCUCGGGAGUGUUAUAGCCUCUUGUGAUGCAGCGAGCGCCGGGCGAGGUCCGCGCUUCGGCUAGGAUGCUGGCGUAAUGGUCGUAAUCCGCCCGUCUUGAAACACGGACCAAGGAGUCUAACAUCUAUGCGAGUGUUCGGGUGUCAAACCCCUACGCGUAAUGAAAGUGAACGGAGGUGAGAACCGCAAGGUGCAUCAUCGACCGAUCCUGAUGUCUUCGGAUGGAUUUGAGUAAGAGCAUAGCUGUUGGGACCCGAAAGAUGGUGAACUAUGCCUGAAUAGGGUGAAGCCAGAGGAAACUCUGGUGGAGGCUCGCAGCGGUUCUGACGUGCAAAUCGAUCGUCAAAUUU